ensembl:lncRNA
GUUGUAAGACUGUCUAUCUAAAUGAAUAAUUCUUAUAACGAUCCAUCAGUUAAAUCAUCAGUUGAAUCUGUACAGAUGUUCCAUGUUAUCAAUGAAGUAAUAUCUGAAGGUAAUCCAUUUUAUCUAUGCAACACACUGAAAUGAGAAUUGUAUCACUGUAUUUUCUGUUCUGUUUUUGUGUCCAUACCAUGUGAGCACUAUCCUGAGAUUCCAAGAUGGUCAGCGUCCGGUCGAUCCAGCCUCGAAUUCAAACAAGUGAUCAUCAUUCAAAAUCCUACAUCUCCCAUAAUUGCUCUUCUUUCUUGAGCUAGUAAGCUUCAUCCAGCCAAGUCAUAUUCUAAGCCAUCCAAACAAUAAUGGAUGCUUCCAAACAUCAUAGGAAGCAUCCACAAAGACUGCCUGCAUCCAUCAAUUUGUCUCCUGAUAUCACAAAUAAGUAAAUAGAACAACACAAAUUGUAAGUUGAGGUUUGUGCAUCAAAUCUCAAUAUCUACUGUCCACUACUCUCAAAAGAUUUCUGCAAUAUGCUACACUUCAAACUUCCUUCUCCAUUAUAUGAUUCUCUGCUCCAUUAACUAUUUUUAUGAAGCAGCACAAAUCUGUUUAAGAAGGUUUGUGCAUCAAAACUCAAUAUCUACUGUCCACUACUCCCAGAAGAUUUCUGCAAUACACUACACUUCAAACUUCCUUCUCCAUUAUAUGAUUCUCCGCUCCAUGAAUUGUUUUUGAAGCAGCACAAAACCAAAAGAAAGGUUUGUGCAUCAAAACCCAAUAUCUACUGUCCACUACUAUCAAAAGAUUUCUGCAAUACGCUACAUGUGAAACUUCCUCCUUAUGCUUUAUUUGAUUCUCCACUCCAUGAACUGUUUUUAUGAAGCAGCACAAAACCAAUAAAAAGGUUUGUGCAUCAAAACUCAAUCUCUACUGUCCACUACUCGCAAAAGAUUUCUGCAAAACGCUACACUUCAAACUUCCUUCUCCAUUAUAUGAUUCUCCACUCCAUGAACUUUCUAUGAAGCAGCACAAAACCGAUUAAAAAGGUUUGUGCAUCAAAACUCAAUAUCUACUGUCCACUACUCCCAAAAGGUUUCUGCAAUGCGCUACACUUCAAACUUCCUUCUCCAUUAUGAUUCUCCAGUCCAUGAACUGUUUUUAUGAAGCACACAACCGAUAAAAAUAAAAGUGAAUACAAAACCAUUGUUCAAAUAUCUUCAGAAAAUGUCCCAGCAAAACUCUAAACUGAUGCAGGCAUUCAAUAGUCAAAGUUAUUAAACAAAUGAAUAACCGCAAAAGUAACACAAUUAUAUAUUAAAUAUUGGAUGGAUGGCUUGUAUUAUAUUAAAGGCUAUGUACAGCAAAUUUAGAUGCCAGCCAAAGGAGGAUGGCUUGCCCCUGCUGAGUCUGGUUCCUCCCAAGGUUUCUCCCUAUACCUCUCUGCUGAUGAUGCUUCUCUUCACUAAUUUAGGGAGUUUUUCCUUGCCACUGUUGCCUUCUGGCUUGCUCACUGGGGUAUUAAGGCACAAUAUUUUCAAUGUAUACUGUGUAAAGUGUUUGUAAAGAAUAAUAAAUACAUGAUGAUUUAGAAUAUA